rnacentral:rRNA from 1 species
GAUGAACGCUAGCUACAGGCUUAACACAUGCAAGUCGCGGGGCAGCAUGGGGGUUGCUUGCAAUCCCCGAUGGCGACCGGCGCACGGGUGAGUAACGCGUAUCCAACCUGCCCUUCACCACGGGAUAACCCGGCGAAAGUCGGACUAAUACCGUAUGUUGUCCAUUGACGGCAUCCGAUUUGGACGAAAGGCUUGGCGGUGAGGGAUGGGGAUGCGUCCGAUUAGCCAGACGGCGGGGUAACGGCCCACCGUGGCUACGAUCGGUAGGGGUUCUGAGAGGAAGGUCCCCCACACUGGAACUGAGACACGGUCCAGACUCCUACGGGAGGCAGCAGUGAGGAAUAUUGGUCAAUGGGCGUAAGCCUGAACCAGCCAAGUAGCGUGCAGGAUGACGGCCCUAUGGGUUGUAAACUGCCUUUAUGCGGGGAUAAAGUGGCCCACGUGUGGGCUUUUGCAGGUACCGCAUGAAUAAGGACCGGCUAAUUCCGUG